UACGUAGGUGACAAGCGUUGUCCGGAUUUACUGGGCGUAAAGAGCGCGCAGGCGGUCGAUCAAGUCGAGUGUGAAAGCCCCCGGCUCAACUGGGGAGGGUCAUUCGAUACUGAUCGACUCGAAGGCAGGAGAGGGUAGUGGAAUUCCCGGUGUAGUGGUGAAAUGCGUAGAUAUCGGGAGGAACACCAGUGGCGAAGGCGGCUUUCUGGCCUGUUCUUGACGCUGAGGCGCGAAAGCUAGGGGAGCGAACGGG
rnacentral:rRNA from 1 species